UUUGAACAGCAGCAGUUAAAAUUGUUAGAAAUAAAUCAAGGAAAGUUUUGGAUCAUGAUUUAGGCAAGUGCUAUUAAGGGCCCAAAUAACUGAUAUUAUAUUGUAAUUAUAGUGGAGACGAGUCUAUAAAUGUAGUUUAGCCACAAAUGAGAAUCUUUUUAACUUUCAGCUGUCUCUCUGAAUGACACAGAAAACAGGAGUGCGCAAACUCAGCUUGGAGAAGUCAUAGAAGCUGUAUCAAUAGCUACCAUAUUUGAUGGAGAAGCAGCAGAUCCAGUCACAGGUAAGGUCUACGAGUACAACUCUCAGUCUGGAGCCAGGAGGUGGAAGGAGACUGAAAACUGGAGCACAGCAUAAAUCACCACACGAAAUGUCGGAGGAUCACUUACUGCACAAAAGUGCUUGGUGGAGCAGCAGUGAGCAUCAUAGGGUGGGCACCUGAUCAUGGCUUCUUCCCAAACCCCCCCUGUGGAGUAUCAGGCAUGGAACUGCUAGCCAGCCUGCUUUUCUCUGAAGUAAAAGCAACUUCCUCUUCUCACAUUGUAUUUGCAGACCUUUGUUUUACUCUAUUACAAAUGAAUUUACUAUAA